UCAUAUGUACAUGCUUACAACGUUAAUGCACUAGAUCCCAUUAGAACUUUGUAGUUAAAAGUGUUUGGGAUAGAGUAGUACUGGAAUGGGUGACCUCCUUGAAAGUCUUAGUGUUUUACAUGCU
rfam:Picea glauca, whole genome shotgun sequence.